rnacentral:rRNA from 1 species
GAUGAACGCUGGCGGCGUGCCUAAUACAUGCAAGUCGAGCGAAUGGAUUAAGAGCUUGCUCCUAUGAAGUUAGCGGCGGACGGGUGAGUAACACGUGGGUAACCUGCCCAUAAGACUGGGAUAACUCCGGGAAACCGGGGCUAAUACCGGAUAACAUUUUGAACCGCAUGGGUCGAAAUUGAAAGGCGGCUUCGGCUGUCACUUAUGGAUGGACCCGCGUCGAAUUAGCUAGUUGGUGAGGUAACGGCUCACCAAGGCAACGAUGCGUAGCCGACCUGGGAGGGUGAUCGGCCACACUGGGACGGAGACACGGCCCAGACUCCUACGGGAGGCAGCAGUAGGGAAUCUUCCGCAAUGGACGAAAGUCUGACGGAGCAACGCCGCGUGAGUGAUGAAGGCUUUCGGGUCGUAAAACUCUGUUGUUAGGGAAGAACAAGUGCUAGUUGAAUAAGCUGGCACCUUGACGGUACCUAACCAGAAAGCCACGGCUAACUACGUGCCAGCAGCCGCCGCCG